CAAGGGUAAUCUGAUUACCCUGUAGAUGAUUACAGCAAGCCUGAGGUUCUGAUUUAGCCACAUAAUUGCCUAGCCUCUACCAGUAUCCACUCAGGUAGGACCUAGAUUAUCUUCUCCUCAUGACUCUCUACUCCAAAAAUUAGAACUCAAUCUGAUUAGGAAGAUCUUCAAAAGCCUUCUUGAAGUUGGAGCAGCAACUUGUCGAAAAACUCCUGCAGCCCUUUGUUCAAUGCAUCACCACGCC
rnacentral:lncRNA from 1 species